ACUGCUCAGUAACACGUAAGCAAUCUGUCCUUAAGUGGGGAAUAACACCGGGAAACCGGUGCUAAUACCGCAUGUGUGGUGGUAUCAGUUUUUCAUCACUAAAGCUCUCGGGCGCUUGAGGAGGAGCUUGCGUCCUAUCAGGUAGUUGGUGGGGUAACAGCCUACCAAGCCUAUGACGGGUAGCUGGUUUGAGAGGAUGUCCAGCCAGACGGGGACUGAGACACGGCCCCGACUCCUACGGGAGGCAGCAGCAAGGAAUUUUGCGCAAUGGGCGAAAGCCUGACGCAGCAACGCCGCGUGAGGGAAGAAGGCCUUCGGGUUGUAAACCUCUUUUCCCAGGGAAGAAUAAUGACGGUACCUGGGAAUAAGUCACGGCUAACUACGUGCCAGCAGCCGCGGUAAUACGUAGGUGGCAAGCGUUAUCCGGAUUCACUGGGCGUAAAGAGCGCGUAGGUGGUCCUUCAAGUCAGAUGUUAAAUCUCCUGGCUUAACUGGGAGCUGUCAUCUGAUACUGCUGGACUUGAGGGCGGUAGAGGGAGGUGGAAUUCCCGGUGUAGUGGUGAAAUGCGUAGAUAUCGGGAGGAACACCAGUGGCGAAAGCGGCCUCCUAGGCCGUUCCUGACACUGAGGCGCGAAAGCGUGGGGAGCGAACAGGAUCAGAUACCCUGGUAGUCCACGCCCUAAACUGUGGAAACUAGGUACAGGGAGUAUCGACCCUUCCUGCGCCGUAGCUAACGCGUUAAGUUUCCCGCCUGGGGACUACGGUCGCAAGACUAAAACUCAAAGGAAUUGGCGGGGGAGCAC
rnacentral:rRNA from 1 species